rnacentral:rRNA from 1 species
AACGAUGACGACCGUGCUUGCACGGUCUGAUUAGUGGCGAACGGGUGAGUAACACGUGAGUAACCUGCCCCUCACUUCGGGAUAACCUCGGGAAAUCGUGGCUAAUACCGGAUAUGAGCUUCCAUCGCAUGAUGGGGGCUGGAAAGAUUUAUCGGUGGGGGAUGGACUCGCGGCCUAUCAGUUUGUUGGUGAGGUGAUGGCUCACCAAGACGAUGACGGGUAGCCGGCCUGAGAGGGCGACCGGCCACACUGGGACUGAGACACGGCCCAGACUCCUACGGGAGGCAGCAGUGGGGAAUAUUGCACAAUGGGCGAAAGCCUGAUGCAGCGACGCCGCGUGGGGGAUGACGGCCUUCGGGUUGUAAACCCCUUUCAGUAGGGAAGAAGCGAGAGUGACGGUACCUGCAGAAGAAGCGCCGGCUAACUACGUGCCAGCAGCCGCGGUAAUACGUAGGGCGCAAGCGUUGUCCGGAAUUAUUGGGCGUAAAGAGCUCGUAGGUGGCUUGUCGCGUCUGCCGUGAAAACCCGAGGCUCAACCUCGGGCGUGCGGUGGGUACGGGCAGGCUAGAGUGUGGUAGGGGAGACUGGAACUCCUGGUGUAGCGGUGAAAUGCGCAGAUAUCAGGAAGAACACCGAUGGCGAAGGCAGGUCUCUGGGCCAUUACUGACACUGAGGAGCGAAAGCAUGGGUAGCGAACAGGAUUAGAUACCCUGGUAGUCCAUGCCGUAAACGUUGGGCACUAGGUGUGGGGGACAUUCCACGUUUUCCGCGCCGUAGCUAA